GGAUAGGUGACAGAGCGGUCUAAUGUUCCGGUCUUGAAAACCGGUGAAGGCACAAGCCUUCCGGGGGUUCGAAUCCCUCCCUAUCCGCCA
rnacentral:tRNA from 1 species